UAGUAAUACUAGGUUGAGCCAGUGGCGAACGGGUGCGUAACACGUGAGUCAUCUGCCUGAAAGUGGGGGAUAGCUCGCCGAAAGGCGAAUUAAUACCGCAUGUGCCCCGAAGCAAUUCGGGGUAAAGCCGGGGCAACCUGGCGCUUUUAGAUGAGCUCGCGGCCUAUCAGCUUGUUGGUAAGGUAACGGCUUACCAAGGCUUCGACGGGUAGCUGGUCUGAGAGGACGACCAGCCACACUGGAACUGAGACACGGUCCAGACACCUACGGGUGGCAGCAGUCGAGAAUUUUUCUCAAUGGGGGAAACCCUGAAGGAGCGACGCCGCGUGGAGGAUGAAGGCUUUCGGGUUGUAAACUCCUGUCAUUUGGGAACAACGCCUUACGUUAACUGCGUGGAGGUUUGAUAGUACCAGAAGAGGAAGAGACGGCUAACUCUGUGCCAGCAGCCGCGGUAAUACAGAGGUCUCAAGCGUUGUUCGGAUUCAUUGGGCGUAAAGGGCGCGUAGGCUGCGGGGCAAGUCGGGUGUGAAAUCUCAGAGCUCAACUCUGAAACUGCACUCGAUACUGCUUUGCUUGAGGACUGGAGAGGAGAUUGGAAUUCACGGUGUAGCA
rnacentral:rRNA from 1 species